GGAGGAUCCAAGCGUUAUCCGGAUUUAUUGGGUUUAAAGGGUGCGUAGGCGGCAGAUUAAGUUAGAGGUGAAAUUCCGAGGCUCAACCUUGGCACUGCCUCUGAUACUGGUUUGCUAGCGAGUAGAUGCUGUAGGCGGAAUGUGUGGUGUAGCGGUGAAAUGCAUAGAGAUCACACAGAACACCGAUUGCGAAGGCAGCUUACAAAUCUAUAUCGGACGCUGAGGCACGAAAGCGUGGGGAGCAAACAGGAUUAGAUACCCUGGUAGUCCACGCAGUAAACGAUGAUAACUCGUUGUCGGCGAUAUACAGUCGGUGACCAAGCGAAAGCGAUAAGUUAUCCACCUGGGGAGUACGUUCGCAAGAAUGAAACUCAAAGG
rnacentral:rRNA from 1 species